rnacentral:lncRNA from 1 species
AAAAAAACCUUAAAGAAAUUUUAAAGAAAUAAUAAAAAAUCUUAAAGAAAUAUUAGAAUGAUCACAAAUAUCUCUCAAAUACAUCUCAAUUCAAUCUUAAUUUAAUUCUAGUUAAAAUCUUAUUGGACUUCAUUCAAACUUUAGACCAAAAUUAAUCAAAUCAUAAACCCUAAACAAACCUUAAUAAAAUCUUAAAUCCUAAAUCAAAUCCUAAAUCCUAAACCAAAUCCUAAUCAAAUCCUAAACCAAAUUCUAUCCAAAUCCUAAACCAAACCUUAACCAAACCCUAAACCCUAAAUAAAAUCCUGACCAAAUUCUAAAUCCUAAACCAAACCCUAACCAAACCCUAAAUCCUAAACCAAAUCCUAAACAAAUCCUAAACCAAACCCUAAAUCCUAAAUCAAAUCCCAACCAAAUCCUAAACCAAAUCCUAAAUAAAACCUUAACCAAACUCUAAAUCCUAAACCAAACCCUAACCAAACUCUAAAUCCUAAACCAAACCCUAAAUCAAACCUCAACCAAAUCCUAACCAA